GACGUAGGGCGCGAGCGUUGUCCGGAUUUAUUGGGCGUAAAGAGCUCGUAGGCGGCUUGUCGCGUCGACUGUGAAAUCCCGCGGCUCAACUGCGGGUCUGCAGUCGAUACGGGCAGGCUAGAGUUCGGUAGGGGAGACUGGAAUUCCUGGUGUAGCGGUGAAAUGCGCAGAUAUCAGGAGGAACACCGAUGGCGAAGGCAGGUCUCUGGGCCGAUACUGACGCUGAGGAGCGAAAGUGUGGGGAGCGAACAGG
rnacentral:rRNA from 1 species